GACGAACGCUGGCGGCGUGCUUAACACAUGCAAGUCGAACGGAAAGGCCCUGCUUUUGUGGGGUGCUCGAUUGGCGAACGGGUGAGUAACACGUGAGUAACCUGCCCUUGACUUUGGGAUAACUUCAGGAAACUGGGGCUAAUACCGGAUAGGAGCUCCUGCUGCAUGGUGGGGGUUGGAAAGUUUCGGCGGUUGGGGAUGGACUCGCGGCUUAUCAGCUUGUUGGUGGGGUAGUGGCUUACCAAGGCUUUGACGGGUAGCCGGCCUGAGGGGGUGACCGGCCACAUUGGGACUGAGAUGAGGCCCAGACUCCUACGGGAGGGAGCAGUGGGGAAGAUUGCACGAUGGGCGGAAGCCUGAUGCAGCAACGCCGCGUGCGGGAUGACGGCCUUCGGGUUGUAAACCGAUUUCGCCUGUGACGAAGCGUGAGUGACGGUAAUGGGUAAAGAAGCACCGGCUAACUACGUG
rnacentral:rRNA from 1 species